GGUUAAGUUAGAAAGGGCGCACGGUGGAUGCCUUGGCACUAGGAGCCGAAGAAGGACGGGACUAACACCGAUAUGCUUUGGGGAGCUGUACGUAAGCGUUGAUCCAGAGAUUUCCGAAUGGGGGAACCCACUAUCUUUAGUCGGAUAGUAUCCUUACGUGAAUACAUAGCGUGAGGAAGGCAGACCCAGGGAACUGAAACAUCUAAGUACCUGGAGGAAGAGAAAGAAAAAUCGAUUUCCUGAGUAGCGGCGAGCGAAACGGAAAGAGCCCAAACCAAGAAGCUUGCUUCUUGGGGUUGUAGGACACUCUAUACGGAGUUACAAAAGAAAGUUAUAAAUGAAGCGGUCUGGAAAGGCCCGCCAAAGACGGUAACAGCCCGGUAGUUGAAAUGGCUUUCCCUCCAGAGUGGAUCCUGAGUACGGCGGAACACGUGAAAUUCCGUCGGAAUCCGGGAGGACCAUCUCCCAAGGCUAAAUACUCCCUAGUGACCGAUAGUGAACCAGUACCGUGAGGGAAAGGUGAAAAGCACCCCGGAAGGGGAGUGAAACAGUUCCUGAAACCGUGUGCCUACAAGUAGUUAGAGCCCGUUAAUGGGUGAUAGCGUGCCUUUUGUAGAAUGAACCGGCGAGUUACGAUUUGUUGCAAGGUUAAGCGGAAAAAGCGGAGCCGUAGCGAAAGCGAGUCUGAAUAGGGCGCAUAAGUAACAGGUCGUAGACCCGAAACCAGGUGAUCUACCCAUGUCCAGGAUGAAGGUAAGGUAAUACUUACUGGAGGUCCGAACCCACGCACGUUGAAAAGUGCGGGGAUGAGGUGUGGGUAGCGGAGAAAUUCCAAUCGAACUUGGAGAUAGCUGGUUCUCUCCGAAAUAGCUUUAGGGCUAGCCUCGAGGUAAAGAGUCAUGGAGGUAGAGCACUGUUUGGACUAGGGGCCCUUCUCGGGUUACCGAAUUCAGAUAAACUCCGAAUGCCAUGUACUUAUACUCGGGAGUCAGACUGCGAGUGAUAAGAUCCGUAGUCGAAAGGGAAACAGCCCAGACCACCAGUUAAGGUCCCCAAAUAUAUGUUAAGUGGAAAAGGAUGUGGGGUUGCUUAGACAACCAGGAUGUUGGCUUAGAAGCAGCCACCAUUGAAAGAGUGCGUAAUAGCUCACUGGUCGAGUGACCCCGCGCCGAAAAUGUACCGGGGCUAAACAUAUUACCGAAACUGUGGAUGAACCUCUUUAGAGGUUCGU
rnacentral:rRNA from 1 species